AUCAACUUUCGAUUGGUAGGAUAGAGGCCUACCAUGGUGGUAACGGGUAACGGGGUGUUAGGGCACGACACCGGAGAGGGAGCCUGAGAAACGGCUACCACAUCCAAGGAUGGCAGCAGGCGCGCAAAUUACCCAAUCCCGACACGGGGAGGUAGUGACAAUAAAUAACAAUACGGGGUUCUUUCGGAUUUUGUAAUUGGAAUGAGUACAAUUUAAAUCUCUUAACGAGGAACAAUUGGAGGGCAAGUCUGGUGCCAGUAGCCGCGGUAAUUCCAGCUCCAAUAGCGUAUAUUAAAGUUGCUGCAGUUAAAAAGCUCGUAGUUGAAUUUCGGGACCAAUAUGUCGGUCGUGCCUCGGUACGUACUGGCAUCGUUGGUUUCUCCCUUCUGACGAACCAUGAUGUCAUUCAUUUGGUGUCGUGGGGAAUCAGGACUGUUACUUUGAAAAAAUUAGAGUGUUUAAAGCAGGCUCACGCUUGAAUACAUUAGCAUGGAAUAAUGAAAUAGGACGUUUGAUUCUAUUUUGUUGGUUUCUAGGAUCGACGUAAUGAUUAAUAGGGAUAGUUGGGGGCAUUAGUAUUCAAUUGUCAGAGGUGAAAUUCUUGGAUUUAUUGAAGACUAACUACUGCGAAAGCAUUUGCCAAGGAUGUUUUCAUUAAUCAAGAACGAAGGUUAGGGGAUCGAAGACGAUCAGAUACCGUCGUAGUCUUAACCAUAAACUAUGCCGACUAGGGAUCGGAUGAUGUUAAUUUUUUAAUGACUCAUUCGGCGCCUUACGGGAAACCAAAGUGUUUGGGUUC
rnacentral:rRNA from 1 species